GUGCCAGCCGCUGCGGUAAUACGGAGGGUGCAAGCGUUAAUCGGAAUUACUGGGCGUAAAGCGCACGCAGGCGGUUGGUUAAGUCAGAUGUGAAAUCCCCGGGCUCAACCCGGGAACUGCAUCUGAUACUGGUCAGCUCGAGUCUCGUAGAGGGAGGUAGAAUUCCAGGUGUAGCGGUGAAAUGCGUAGAGAUCUGGAGGAAUACCGGUGGCGAAGGCGGCCUCCUGGACGAAGACUGACGCUCAGGUGCGAAAGCGUGGGGAGCAAACAGGAUUAGAUACCCUGGUAGUCCACGCUGUAAACGAUGUCGAUUUGGAGGUUGUGCCCAUGAGGCGUGGCUUCCGGAGCUAACGCGUUAAAUCGACCGCCUGGGGAGUACGGCCGCAAGGUUAAACUCAAAUGAAUUGACGGGGCCCGCACAAGCGGUGGAGCAUGUGGUUUAAUCGAUGCAACGCGAAG
rnacentral:rRNA from 1 species